UGCAAGUCGAACGCUGAAGCACCAGCUUGCUGGUGUGGAUGAGUGGCGAACGGGUGAGUAAUACGUGAGUAACCUGCCCUUGACUCUGGGAUAAGCCCGGGAAACUGGGUCUAAUACUGGAUGCUACAUGUCACCGCAUGGUGGCGUGUGGAAAGGGUUUACUGGUCUUGGAUGGGCUCACGGCCUAUCAGCUUGUUGGUGAGGUAAUGGCUCACCAAGGCGACGACGGGUAGCCGGCCUGAGAGGGUGACCGGCCACACUGGGACUGAGACACGGCCCAGACUCCUACGGGAGGCAGCAGUGGGGAAUAUUGCACAAUGGGCGAAAGCCUGAUGCAGCGACGCCGCGUGAGGGAUGACGGCCUUCGGGUUGUAAACCUCUUUCAGCAGGGAAGAAGCCACAAGUGACGGUACCUGCAGAAGAAGCGCCGGCUAACUACGUGCCAGCAGCCGCGGUAAUACGUAGGGCGCAAGCGUUGUCCGGAAUUAUUGGGCGUAAAGAGCUCGUAGGCGGUUUGUCGCGUCUGCUGUGAAAG
rnacentral:rRNA from 1 species